rnacentral:rRNA from 1 species
CACGUAGGGCGCAAGCGUUGUCCGGAAUCACUGGGCGUAAAGCGCACGUAGGCGGCUUUUUAAGUCAGGGGUGAAAUCCUGGAGCUCAACUCCAGAACUGCCUUUGAUACUGAGAGGCUUGAGUCCGGGAGAGGUGAGUGGAACUGCGAGUGUAGAGGUGAAAUUCGUAGAUAUUCGCAAGAACACCAGUGGCGAAGGCGGCUCACUGGCCCGGUACUGACGCUGAGGUGCGAAAGCGUGGGGAGCAAACAGG